UUCUGUGCCUGUUUCUUUCUCCCUGCCCUGGUUUCUGUCUCUGUGGCCCAGGCCCUCUCCUCAUCCUUGGCCCCUCACCAGGUGACAGUGGGAACUGGAUCGAGAUCGCCUAUGGCACCAGCUCAGGGGGCGUGCGGGUCAUCGUGCAGCACCCGGAGACUGUGGGCUCGGGGCCUCAGCUCUUCCAGACCUUCACUGUGCACCGCAGCCCCGUCACCAAGAUCAUGCUGUCGGAGAAGCACCUCAUCUCAGUCUGUGCCGACAACAACCACGUGCGGACAUGGUCUGUGACUCGCUUCCGCGGCAUGAUUUCCACCCAGCCCGGCUCCACCCCACUCGCUUCCUUUAAGAUCCUGGCUCUGGAGUCGGCAGAUGGGCAUGGCGGCUGCAGUGCUGGCAAUGACAUUGGCCCCUACGGUGAGCGGGACGACCAGCAAGUGUUCAUCCAGAAGGUGGUGCCCAGCGCCAGCCAGCUCUUUGUGCGUCUCUCAUCUACUGGGCAGCGGGUGUGCUCCGUGCGCUCCGUGGACGGCUCACCCACGACGGCCUUCACAGUGCUGGAGUGCGAGGGCUCCCGGCGGCUCGGCUCUCGGCCCCGGCGCUACCUGCUCACCGGCCAGGCCAACGGCAGCUUGGCCAUGUGGGACCUAACCACCGCCAUGGACGGCCUCGGCCAGGCCCCUGCAGGUGGCCUGACGGAGCAAGAGCUGAUGGAACAGCUGGAACACUGCGAGCUGGCCCCGCCAGCUCCCUCAGCUCCC
rnacentral:sRNA from 1 species